rnacentral:rRNA from 2 species
GAGUUUGAUUCUGGCUCAGAUUGAACGCUGGCGGCAUGCUUUACACAUGCAAGUCGAACGGCAGCGCGGGCUUCGGCCUGGCGGCGAGUGGCGAACGGGUGAGUAAUACAUCGGAACAUGCCCACUUGUGGGGGAUAGCUCGGCGAAAGCCGGAUUAAUACCGCAUGAGAUCUACGGAUGAAAGCAGGGGACCUUCGGGCCUUGCGCGAGUGGAGUGGCCGAUGGCAGAUUAGGUAGUUGGUGGGGUAAAGGCCUACCAAGCCUGCGAUCUGUAGCUGGUCUGAGAGGACGACCAGCCACACUGGGACUGAGACACGGCCCAGACUCCUACGGGAGGCAGCAGUGGGGAAUUUUGGACAAUGGGCGCAAGCCUGAUCCAGCAAUGCCGCGUGCAGGACGAAGGCCCUCGGGUUGUAAACUGCUUUUGUACAGAACGAAAAGAGCUGGGUUAAUACCCUGGUUUUAUGACGGU